AUGUAUUUGAUGAUGGGAUAAGUACGAUAGUGAUCUGAUCUCCAGAGAGUUGGCGCUGUGCUGUAAGCCGAUGUUCAGAACCUAAGCGGAAGAUCCUCCCGGAGAAGUGAAGCUGAAGUGUCUUCUGACGCGUGUAAGCUGAACCGGUUCUGCCGAACGUUAUAUCGGCUCUAUGUUGGAAGUAUCAGCGUAGGUAUGAGGUGUCGCUCAAGAUAGGUAUUUUUAAGUGAGCGAAAUUAGGGUGGUCACGCGAGCGGAAGUCUCGUCCCUUUG
rnacentral:ncRNA from 1 species